rnacentral:lncRNA from 1 species
GAGAUUCAAAAAAGAAUUGAUGUGAUUCAAGUAAUAAUAUAUAUGGGAUUCACAAAAUUAUUAAUAGAAAGUAAACCUAAACGAAUCGAGAAAUUACAGAUAAAUGUACAAAAAGAACUAAAUUGUGUGAACCAAAAACUCAAUAUUGCUAUUACAAGAAUUUCAAACCCUUAUGGGCACCGUAAUAUUCUUGCAGAAUUUAUAGCCGGACAAUUAAAGAAUAGAGUUUCAUUUCGCAAAGCAAUGAAAAAAGCUAUUGAAUUAACUGAACAGGCGGAUACAAAAGGAAUUCAAGUACAAAUUGUGGGGCAUCUUGACGGAAAAGAAAUUGCACGCGUCGAGUGGAUUAGAGAGGGUAGGGUUCCUCUACAAACCAUUCGGGCUAAAAUUGAUUAUUGUUCAUAUACAGUUAGAACCAUUUAUGGGGUAUUAGGCAUAAAAAUUUGGACAUUUCUAGACAAAAAAUAAUAAACCCUUACUUGACUUGUCUUUACAUUCUAUCUAUUGAUAAAACAAAAAUGACAAACUCUUUGAUUCUUUUUUUUUUAUUAUUAAAAAAAAAAUCAAUUCGAAUUAUAUUUCUAUAGGGUUGAAUAAAAUAAAAAAUUUGAUUGAUAAUUUGAUAUAAUUGCUAUGCUUAGUGUGUGACUCGUUGGUUUUUUAGGUUCAGGAUUAAAAAAAGGGACUGACUCAUACUAUGAACUAAUAAGUAUAAAUAUACAACUAAUAACCAAAUACAACUAAUAACCAACUCAUCGCUUUGCAUUAUCUAGAUCCAAGGAAACAUUCAAGAUAUGAUAUAUUGCUCAUGUUUUUAUUUAUUAUUGGAGCAAUUAAAAUCCUUUUUGCACAAACAAAAUAAGAAACAAAAGAAAAACCAAUCUGAUUUGAUUAGGAGUUGUAAAUCAAAAUAAAAAUUAUGCGGAUAAAUGGAAGGGUGAAAGAAAGAGAGAAAAAAAUAUCAAUGAUCUAUGAUUCCGAUAUGUAAGGUCUAUGAAUUAUCAGAUAAAGGCUAAUGUACUAAAGCAUCAAUACCAAUUGAUCUAUAAUGAAACUAAUUCAUUCAUAAAACAAAAAAUCAAGAGCCUCGAGCCAAUAAAGACUGAGAAGAUUGACUCAAGAACAAAUCAAAUUAGAGGCUCCAUUGUAAAAUUAAGACCUAACCAUUAAUGGAGAAGCGAUGGGAACGACGGAACCUGUAAAUACAUAAGAUUUUAUUGAAAACAAAUCUUAAUGAUUUAUUGGGAGGAUAGCGAAAGGAACCAAAAGACAAUCCAUUUAUUCUGAAGGAUCGUGGAUUAGCUCUACAAAACAAAUAAAAUAAAUAUUGAAAGAGAAAAUAUUCGUCCGCGAAAUUUUUUAGAUUAUUGGAUUUCUAAAUUUUAG